rnacentral:rRNA from 1 species
GACGAACCGUGCGAACGUUAUUCGGAAUCAUUGGGCGUAAAGAGCGUGUAGGCGGCCUUUUAAGUCCUGCGUGAAAUCCUGCGGCUCAACCGCAGACGGUCGUGGGAAACUGGAAGGCUAGAGUGCGGGAGAGGAGAGUGGAAUUCCCGGUGUAGCGGUGAAAUGCGCAGAUAUCGGGAAGAACACCCGUGGCGAAGGCGGCUCUCUGGAACGCAACUGACGCUGAGACGCGAAAGCGUGGGGAGCAAACAGG